ensembl:lncRNA
UUUGGAAAGAGUCAUGGCCUGAAUAUAUCUAAAGGCCAAUAUUCAGUUAUAAUCAUAGCGGCACCUGUUGGUAAUAGGACACAACAUGCUUUAUACUAACUCAAACAUACCAUGUUCAAUCUGCACUAAAUUUCAUAUGCUUGAUAAAAGUGCUGGACUGAAGAAAUCUACAUGCUAAAAUCGAGUUAUAGUCAUAGCGCCACCAGCUGGCAGCAGGAAUACUUGCACAUAUAAAUGACUUUGACAUAUUUCUCUUAUAUUUACCACAUUAAAUGCAUAUUUCUCGCCGUUUGCUGUUUUACAAAAGCCAACCGCUGGCGGUGAGCCCGGGUGCGAGGGCCUGUUCAUCGCUGCUUGCAGCUUUAAUUAGGGCCCGAGCACUGCAGUGCGAGGACCCUCUUGGAAUUGCUCCGUUUAUUAGGGCUCAAGCCUGGAGGGCGAAGAGCCCUAUUGUUUUCCUUAGGAUUUUUUUUUUUUUUUUAUUCUUCUAAUUUUUUUCCAAGGUUUCGGGGGCUUUUGGGGCCCUUAACAUGCUCAAAAACUCUUGAAAAUUGGCACACACCUUGGAAUCUUAGGGCCGGGCAGAGACUGAUACACGGGCGUGGCACAGGGGCUCUACAGCGCCCCCUGGAAUAUUGAGGGCCAUAUAUCAUGCAUACUUGCACGUAUACAUAUGAAACUCGGUACACAUGUAGAUCUCAUCAAACCAAACAACUUUCGCACGGCAUGUCAUAAGCUCCGCCCAACAGGAAGUUGGCUAUUUAGGGUUUUGUGAAAAACACAUGCUCUGGAAUUUGAUAUACUCCUCUGAGGAACUCCACCCGUUUGCCACAAAACUCGGUGAACAUAAUCCCAAGACAUUGGGGAUGCUAAAUUGUGAAGAUAUUUUUGAUAUCUCGAACGGUUUGUCCGUGGCGAGGCGUUGAAAUUAUGGCGAGAAAUGAGAAACAGGAAAUGUCUAAUAACAUCAACAUACACUACCUGAGUUUGAUCAAACUUCAUUGGUUUGUUCGAUGUAUGAUGCCGAUCGCAUAUAUGUGACUAUUAGGAGUCAAAGUUACAGCGCCACCAACUGGCAGCAGGAAGUGUGUCAUUUUCAAAAUGCUUUGAAUUCAGCAUCUUAUUUUUACUCGAUUUGCUUCAAACUUCAUCAGAAUAAUGACAAAACACGGCCGAUGUAAAUCUGUUGUGGGGAUAUUGAUAUCUAACAUAGUGUUGCCAUGGCAACGUGUCAAACUUGAAUAUUCUGUUCUGGUGAUUUUGAGGCAGAUAACAUGCUCAGAAUUACAUAAAACUCAAAACACAUAUCAGUAUUAAUGAUAGCUACACAAUGGCAAAAGUUCAUGAAAGGGCGUGGAGGAGCCACUCUAUAGCGCCACCUUUUGUCAAAAGUGAGGGGGUUAGUUUUAGCUACAGACACCAAACUCAGUACAUAAAUUGUUCUUAUCAAGACGGACAACUUUCUAAUUCACAGUCAUCAGCUACGAUGAACAGGAAGUCAGUUAUAUUGAUUUGAAUAUGGAUUUUUGGAAAAAUAUAGCUGUGAAUUAAUGCAUACUGCUCAGAGGAGAAUUACAGUAUACACACCAAACUUUGUCUACAUGAUGCCAAAACAUUGAGGAACUUAAAUUGCGAAUGGAUUUUGGAUAGCUUGAACGGUUUUGCCAUAGUGAUUUAUUGAAAUAACAGUAAAAAAGUAAACAUAAAUUGUCUUAUAUUUCUUAAAGUGCAGCUUCCAAACACUUCAAAAUUUUUAUAUAUAGAGG